CUCAGGACGAACGCUGGCGGCGUGCCUAAUACAUGCAAGUCGAGCGAACAGAAGGGAGCUUGCUCCCGGAUGUUAGCGGCGGACGGGUGAGUAACACGUGGGUAACCUGCCUGUAAGACUGGGAUAACUCCGGGAAACCGGAGCUAAUACCGGAUAGUUCCUUGAACCGCAUGGUUCAAGGAUGAAAGACGGUUUCGGCUGUCACUUACAGAUGGACCCGCGGCGCAUUAGCUAGUUGGUGGGGUAAUGGCUCACCAAGGCGACGAUGCGUAGCCGACCUGAGAGGGUGAUCGGCCACACUGGGACUGAGACACGGCCCAGACUCCUACGGGAGGCAGCAGUAGGGAAUCUUCCGCAAUGGACGAAAGUCUGACGGAGCAACGCCGCGUGAGUGAUGAAGGUUUUCGGAUCGUAAAGCUCUGUUGUUAGGGAAGAACAAGUGCGAGAGUAACUGCUCGCACCUUGACGGUACCUAACCAGAAAGCCACGGCUAACUACGUGCCAGCAGCCGCGGUAAUACGUAGGUGGCAAGCGUUGUCCGGAAUUAUUGGGCGUAAAGGGCUCGCAGGCGGUUUCUUAAGUCUGAUGUGAAAGCCCCCGGCUCAACCGGGGAGGGUCAUUGGAAACUGGGAAACUUGAGUGCAGAAGAGGAGAGUGGAAUUCCACGUGUAGCGGUGAAAUGCGUAGAGAUGUGGAGGAACACCAGUGGCGAAGGCGACUCUCUGGUCUGUAACUGACGCUGAGGAGCGAAAGCGUGGGGAGCGAACAGGAUUAGAUACCCUGGUAGUCCACGCCGUAAACGAUGAGUGCUAAGUGUUAGGGGGUUUCCGCCCCUUAGUGCUGCAGCUAACGCAUUAAGCACUCCGC
rnacentral:rRNA from 1 species